UACGGAGGGUGCAAACGUUGCUCGGAAUCAUUGGGCGUAAAGCGCACGUAGGCGGCUCGUUAAGUCGGAUGUGAAAGCCCUGGGCUCAACCCAGGAAGUGCAUACGAAACUGGCGAGCUUGAGUAUGGAAGAGGGCCGCGGAAUUCCCGGUGUAGAGGUGAAAUUCGUAGAUAUCGGGAGGAACACCAGUGGCGAAGGCGGCGACCUGGGCCAAUACUGACGCUGAGGUGCGAAAGCGUGGGGAGCGAACAGG
rnacentral:rRNA from 1 species